rnacentral:rRNA from 1 species
AUACGUAGGUGGCAAGCGUUAUCCGGAUUUAUUGGGCGUAAAGCGAGCGCAGGCGGUUGCUUAGGUCUGAUGUGAAAGCCUUCGGCUUAACCGAAGAAGUGCAUCGGAAACCGGGCAACUUGAGUGCAGAAGAGGACAGUGGAACUCCAUGUGUAGCGGUGGAAUGCGUAGAUAUAUGGAAGAACACCAGUGGCGAAGGCGGCUGUCUGGUCUGCAACUGACGCUGAGGCAUGAAAGCGUGGGUAGC